GGAAAGCAGGCAGAGGUCAGUGUGGAAAUGGACAGGGACGAAUUCACUGGAGCAUUGGGAAAAUUUAAGCGGAGCAUCGGGAGAGGGAGUAAAGCGGGGCGAGCGAGGAAGCACAGUGUGAGUCAGUGAGUGGGAACCUCGGCUGCUUCACGUUUCUGUCACUGUGGAUGGAGCGGUUCCACGAUGCCCGGUUCCCUGUCAUCCUGGACUCCAACAUUCUGCAACUGUGAGUCAAAACAAACAUUCCUGCGGCCCAGCAAGAUGAUUCAGUGGUUAAAGACACCUGUUCCACAAGACUGGCAACCUUGGUUCAAUCUUUGGAACAACUUCAAGACCGUGCACCCGUGGCGUUCGGGUUGAACACGCAAUGCUCCGCACAGGCUGCGAUGUUGAAUCCUCAGACCCCAGGAGGAGGUGCUCUUUGCAGGAGGAGGUGGAGGCUUUAGGAACCGGGCCGAGGUAGAGGAAGCACUUGGAAGUGUCCUUGGGGCCUUUGCGGUUGUGUCUCGUCCUGCCACAUCCCUGCAGUGUCCUCUACUUCCUGUCAGAAGUUGAAGACCUCCUCCUCCCUCUCCUCUAUGAUGUUGUGCCUCUCUAUGGGUCCAGGCAGAGUCCGUAGUUAAGGCGUGUAGACUGAAAUCGCUGCAGCCGUGAACAAAUCCCUGGCUCCUCCCAAAAGGGAACCGUUGGAGGGCUCCUGCACGGUUUGCUGAUGCUAUUUGAUGGACGUGUAUUCUACCAGGAUAUAUGCAAACAUACCCUGCCUCAGCACCUUCUAGUCAUUUCCUCUGUCUGAGGUUGAUUGAUUAAAGUUCCGGGAAGUAAAGAGGAGAGAAAGGUAAAUUGUCCUGAGAGCCAAAUGCCUAGGAAGGACCAAAGGCAGUAGUGGUAACACCCUUAAAGCCCUGGAUGAGGGCUCCUAGCACCACCAAUCACUCUUUAGCUGCUGAAGAAUUAAAGUCCUGGGAUAAGGGCUCUAUCUUAGUUAGCAUUUUACUGCUGUGAACAGACACUGUUACCAAGGACAACAUUUAAUUGGGGCUGGCUUACAGUUUCAGAGGUUCAGUCCAGUAACAUCAAGGUGGGAUACAUGGCAGCAUCCAGGCAGGCAUGGUGCAGGAGGAGCUGAGAGUUCUACAUCUUCAUCUGUUAGGAGAAAACUGAGUUCUAGUCAGCUAGGAAGAGGGUCUUUUUUUUUAAAUAUGUUUUGAUAGCACAAUGUUUCUUUCUUUUUUUUCUUUUUCUUUUCCAUCUUUAUUAAAUUGGGUAUUUCUUAUUUACAUUUCAAAUGUUAUUCCCUUUCCCGGUUUCCAUGGCAACAUCCGCCUAGCCCCUCCCCCUCCCAUUCUAUAUGGGUGGUCUCCCUCCCAAUCCUUCCCCCAUUACUGCCACCCAGGGCUUAGGAAGAGGGUCUUAAAGCCCACACCCAUAGUGACACACCCACUCCAACAAGGCCACACCUCCUACUAGUGCCACUGUCUGCGUCAAGCAUAUCUGAACCGUCACACAGGCUCCCACCACCACCAAUUGUUGUCGAGCUGCUGAGGAAUUAUCCCUGUCAUAUAAUACCUGUGACUUUUGAAUGCCAGCAGUAAGUUUCCUCUGUCCUCUUUUGCUAAUAAUACAUUGCCACAGGUUGGCUAAUUUAUAAAUAAGAAAGGGUUACUGUGGUUCAUCCAGUGAUGGUUCUCCUUGCUGUCAGGGUCCCCACGUGUAAUAGCCCAUCACAUGGAAAGAGAUUAGAAUGGGGCACGAUAGAUUAGCCAAAGUCACGUAUAUAGCACAACCUCCCCUGAGACAACCUGUCAACCCAUUAGUCUGUAUGUCACGUGCGUGUAUCAGUGUAGUAGUGAGGAUGAGCUUCUAAUCGCUUUCACUGGUCCCAUCUCUUGCUAUCUCAUAAUGAGAAACUUCAACAUGAGCUACACAGCAAAUUCAAGCAACGGAGGUCAGCGUCUGGCUACCCCAGGAAAUGCCCACGGGAUGGGUAUCCAAGUGGGUCUGGGCUCAGGCAAGGCUAAACAGAUUUUUGUGGUAUCUAAUGCAAGCAGAUGGCUCUGUCCUCCUUUUAAAACUAAAGCACUGUCAAAUGCUAAGGGACUCAGAGUCACACAAGAAUGGAGUGUACCUGUGGGCAGUUGUUUCCUGUCGUGGCUAAGAAGGACCACAGAGCCUGAUACAAAGUGUGUUGUAAGCAGGGAGAGGAACAGAUGUUGUGGGGUUUACUCCUUGUUAUAAGGGAUUAUUGUGUGUAGAUCUGAGUGCCAAGGGACCCCAACCUCAGCCUGAUGUUCCCUUGGCUUUGAAGUUCUUCUCUCAACUCACAUUUAACUAAAUCUUGUUUGCAUUCUUACCUUCACCAAAUAAUUGACCCUCCGAUUUCCGUCGGUUUCUCUCCUUAUGUGAGGCAUCCAGGAGGCCAGGGGAGAGCAGGGCAGAUGGGUUUCCCUCUUGACCUUUCCAGAUGCAAUACAGAUCAGGAUGCUUGGAAGCCCACUGAGUAGAGAACUCUUCCUUUACAGGCUGCAUCCCACCUCGUCUUGUCAGACCAAGGGUAUGACUCCCCACUGUUUCUUCUCUUUUUGACAGAUUAAUCCCCUUGUGUCUACAGAGUUUGUUCUUCCAGGAGUCAUGCCAUGAGCCAUUCAAAUACCUUCUACUAUUGUCAUAAUAGAGGGACCGUGUAUUAGUAACUUUUUUUAUGAUGGGGACAUAGACAUAAAUAACUUAAGCGGGGUGGUGGUGGUGGUGGUGGUGGUGAUGGUGUUAUUUGGCUUACAGUUUAAAGGAUGUCAGUCUAUCUUGGAAGGAAGGGCACGGCAAAGCAGAGCGUUUUAGAACAUGAUGGACCAGGAAGCAGAGAAGGGGAUUCAGGAAUAGGCUAAGGCAGACAGUCUAUAAAAGCACGCGCCCAGUGAAAUAUUUUCCCUAAUUAGAGCCCACUGCUUGCCAUUUACCAUGUCUCAAUAAUGAAUAGUGCCUUCAUAUUGUGAAUCCAAUGAGGGAAAUUGAUCUACUGAUUAGGGAAGAAGGAUCAUGGUCUAUCACUGGAAAGUAUUGCACACACACACACACACACACACACACACACACACACACACAGAGAGAGAGAGAGAGAGAGAGAGACAGAGACAGAGAGAGACAGAGACAGAGAGAGAGACAGAGAGACAGAGAGAGACAGAGAGAGACAGAGAGAGACAGAGAGAGACAGAGAGACACACAGAGAGAAAGAUCCUCCAUCAAUCCCCUGCAAGUCUCUUAAUUAUGUCCAUUUGACAAAAUCAACCACCUAGGAUGGCCUCUUUUGUUUGACCUCUGUUGCUAUUAUGAGGUAGUGUGAGUACUUGCCUUAUAGGAGUUGAACCAGUUGAAGUGGAAAAAGCAACUUAGCCUGGGUUGCCUGAGUCUGUAUUGCAAGAGUCAGGAUGAUUUCUACUUGGCUGAAUUCUUGUCUUGGCUUUCUGGAGCCAUCAGGAAAAUAAAAAUAAAAAUCAAUCAAAGGAGAAUGUCCCCCUGUUCCACUGAUGCUUCUCUUCACCAGCUUCUCUGUGGACCAAAGUCUCCCGUUACCUAGGCAACCUUCUCCAGGACCCAUGCUCUCCAUUGCAGUUACAAAAUGAAUGUUAGGGUUGAGUUAAAAUGGUAAGAUCAAGAACAUCGGGGGCUUGCAGUUGAGCAUGAGAUAGGCAGGCUACUCGAUAAGAAGGACAGAGCUCGGAAAAAUAAUGAAGUGAGUUCUCAUGGGUUCCGAUUGGCUUUUGGGAAGAGCUGCCCCACCUAAGCACACCAAAAGCACUGCUGUCCUUUUACCUGGUGAACUCUGUAUCUAAUUAAUCUAAUUGUAAUAGACGUAGUUGCAGGCUAAGUACAGCCUCUAGGAAAGCCUUUGCCAAUUCCAGAAAGGAGGGUACCCUCCAGGAGUGUGCACAGGUCAGAGGAAUGGUAGUCUAAGACUUGUGAAUUCAGAAAGUAGAGGCAGCCCUUGGAUUCUGCUAUUCAGAGCUGUGUGCCUUCCAUUCUUGAGAGUGAAUGCAUGUUCUGCUUUUGCUUUCUUGGCUGUUGAAGAAGCUCAAAUAGUAGCUCAUUGUACCAGGCUCGACAUGAUAUGAACUCUUCUCCUCUGAGAGCACAGACAUAGAUUACCAUGGCCGUGAUUGGCAGGAACCCAAUGGAAGAACAGCUCCUGGUUCCUAACUCUACCAAGAAUGCUGUUCUAGCUUGAUUUCUGCCUCCCCAGCAUCUUUUCCUCUUCCCAAUUUUCCAAUCAGCAUCUAAGUACAAACUGCUGCUUCGUAUUCAAAAGAAGUCUUCUUUGAAAAUCCAUGUCCCUGACUAUUGGUCCAUUCCUCCGCUCUCUUUUGUGCCUAGGUUCUUCAAAGGCCUUGUCUCUAACUGUCUCUACUUCCUUUUUAUCACCCUCUGUCCCCAAUGCACUGCUAUCAAGUUUCUUUUUCCUGCAUAACACAGAGAACAAAGUGAAAAGCAGACUUGCUUUGUCAAGGUCAGAGGUUACUAGGGUGAGGAUUUUUUUCUCUUUGAUCGGAUUAAUCAAAGCUUAUAACCAUCACCCUGUCAUAUUUUAAUCAAGACCUUUAGGCUUCACUAAAAAUAUCUGUUGAUUUGGGUAACGAUGCUAUCAUGCUGUCAAGCACCAUGUUCCAGAUACUGUGGUCAACUCUCAAUUUUAUUUCCCUUAGCUGGGCACGUUCAGUAAGUGAAUCUCCUCCUCGUUCUGCCUUUCCUGCCUCUGGGACACCAUUUUCUUUUCUGGAACAAGUGGGAGGGAGCUUUGCUCUCCCCCGUGUCCUUCCUUCCUGCUUUCACAUCUUUGAAGGCUGAUCUCAGCAUUCGUUGACACUCAGGUUUAAGGAUUCCAUUAACUUUCCUGUCUUUACUUUUUAUUUCUUUUAAACUGGCUCUCCCUUUGCCGCUUAGGCAGGACUGGCAAUCCUCUUUAAAGAUGUGUGCCAUACGACUUCGUCUAACCUAUCUUCUCUAACAUCUCUGUAGUAGGUGGUAACCUAAGAUUUCAUGCACUGCAGUUUGGCUGACUUGUCCUACAGUACUCUCUCACAUUGAUUAUGUAGCAACCAUAGCCAUCUCUGUGAUGGCCUGUGGGUCCAUCCGGGACCCAGUCAGGUUUCUUCUUUGAUGUCACCACCUAGCAUACCAUUUUGUGCCCACCUAGCCAUGGUGGUCUUCUUGGCCCUUAAGCCCAGUGAACUUGUUUCUGUUCUAUCUCAGUGUCUUUGCAUACGCUAUGCCCUCCCAACCCCCACCCCCGAGGGAUUUUCUUCUCUUGUGUUUUCCUAUGGUGUCACUUUAUAACGUCUGUUCAAACUUCACCUUUCGGCUUUUUCCCGAUAGCCUUCUUCCUUAAGUCCAACAAGACCACCACCACUACUACCUCUCUGUUCCCUUGAUUCUGUUUUUCUUUAUUCCUUAACACCACACACCUCUGUGUUUCCUGUCUCACCCACUUUAAGAUUUCAUCUUCAACACCUAAAUAGUUAGGACAUGGUAUAGGACGUGUUAGUUAUUUGUUGAGUGAAAGGAUUAUGAAUUAAUUGCUCGCCUCAUCAAUUAUAUCAUCGUUUUUUAAAAAGAAAUGUUUUAGUGUCAAUCAUCAACCAUAAGAGAUAAAAGAAAGAAAAACAGUAAAAGUCUUCCUUGAUAUAGAAAGAUGACAAAAAUAACCACCCAAAAAACAAAAAACAUUGACAUAUCCCCACGUGAAGGGACAUUUGUUUAUAUCCCUCUGUUUGAGUCACCCACAGCAGGAGAAGCAAAUUGCCAGCUUACAGCCCGAGGACUUUCUCCAAUGGACCUGUGCUCAGGUGCAGCCUGGACCCUGAUUUAUGCUGCAGAAAAUAGCUUCAAGGUGAAGCUGGCAGUGUCUGGAGAGGGGACUACAGAGUCUGGAGAAGUGACGUCAGCUUUCUAGAGGACCUAGCUUCCCAGUCACAGACAGGAGGGUAGAGAGAACCAUCAAGGAAAGGAAUUGAAAUGGCUCUAAAAGGACACAAUGAGACAAUGGGAUGAAGGAGACGCAGCAUGCUAUUCAGCACGCACUGGAAAGGGAGAAAAAUCAACUGUCAACCGGCUUGUCAGUAUGAGCAGUUAGAAGUGACAUGAUUGGAAGCAUUAAGAACCAGGAACACAGGACAAUUUUCUGAGGGACGUGCAUCGAAUACAUUACCUAGAACACAAACUGAAUCGGAUGCUGUAGCCCACCACCGUGAACUGAAGCUUCAUGAAGAGAGACUCAUGUGACCCUCGUGUGGAAGCGAAUGGAACAAAGACCAACUUUUCCAUUUGGACCCCUGGUUUCUCUCGAAUGCAGUUGUCCCAUCCUCAGCCUUUGAAUGAAAUGACUGUGCUGGUGGUCCCACGCCCAGGGGAAACAUCCUGUCCCCUAGAGGACCCUCAGUCUGUUGGAAAGUGUAAUGAGUAAGACUCAGUGAGCAGCAGAGGCUGAGAAAGUUGGGGGCCAAGGAGCAGGUCAGAGUUUCCCCACUUCUGCUUUUAACUCUCCUCCACUCAAAAUAGAAACUAUUUCCACCUUACUCCCUGUCCCCAACCUCAGCUUCAAGGUGGUCUACCACAAACACUCUGAGUGACAGUAGGGGAGUCACCAACUCUCCUGUGAGUCUGCACACCAAGCUGAGGAAACGGAAGCCUAGAAAGGCCAAAGAAAGUACUGUGUUGACCUUUUACAAUUAUUAAUUAAUUAAAUACAUAUGGGUGUUUUA